UUGACCUUUGCCCCUUUAGGUAUGUGAAGCAGAAAAAAAUCCUUCACAGGCUGAGGAAUGCAAAGCAGACAAGCAUCUUCAGCCAGCAGAGUUUAUCAAGCAUGUGUUCAGUGCAAAUGCUCAGACUUGGACAUGAUGCAAAAGCAAUUAAGAGAAAGAACAGGCUUUGACAUGUAUUAUUUGAUGUAGCACUCAUGGGCACCAUGAUGAGGAGCUCUUAAAUCAGCUUAAGAAAGGUGAACUACUAAGAUCAAAAGAGUGUUCCUUUUUCCUGGUGAGUAAUUGUUAAUGAAUAUCUUCCAAAUCAAACACCUUGCAAGAAGCAGAGUUUUUGUAUUUUACUAGCAACAAAUUGGAGAGAUGGAAGCCCUCCAAAAGAGUUCUAGAAUGCUGAAAUAUGAAACGUAAAAAAAAUUUCAUCCAGGUUAAAAAGGCAGUUUAUUAUUCUAAUUUUCAGCUGCACAGUUACCCAACUUAAGCCAAGUCUUUUCACACUUCCUGAGUGAUUUUUAUCUUACCUACUGCUUCCCACUUCCCAAGUGGGAAGAAAUCUCAUUCCCUCCAACUGAGAAUCUGAGAAGACCAAUUGCUUUAAAAAAUGUAAGAAAAAUGGCUGAUGAUUUAGGCAGUUAGUAGUAUAAUUAUUUCUUCUAUUUUUAUUGUUUUUGUGAUACUAGAAGUAGUCAUUUUCAUGUUUAUCCAAUAUCUUUGAGGUCCAAAGUGAGGUGUCAAAUUUCACAAAAACUUUAUAUUUCAGCAAUAUUUUUGGUGGGUAGAUUUUCAAAAAGUUUUGCUUGGUUAUCACUCAGUGCACUCAGAAAAAUAGUCAUUUACAAAAGUAAACAUCAAGAGAUAGUGAAAAACUUGAUGAAAGAAAAAGUAUUAUAUCCUAAUGUCUACCACUAGGUGAAUGGAUAAAUAAAUUGGGGUUUAUCCAUACAACAGAAUUCUACUGAGUAUCAAAAUAACUGAACUAUUGAUACACUCAACAACAGGAAUACAUCUUGAAAUAAUUAUACUGAGUGAAAAAAAUUCCCUAAGACAUUUUGUGUGACUCUUCCAGUUUAUAAAAUUCUUUUAAAAUGCAAACUAAUCUUUAGUGACAGAAAGCAAAUGAGUGGUUGCUUGAGAACAAGGAGAAGAGGCAGGGAGGGACAAGUGGAAGGUAUUACAAAGGGGCAAAUGAAGCUUUUGCAGGUGAUGAAUAUGUUCUUUAUCUUCAUUGCAGGUAAUGAAUAUGUUUGUUAUCUUCAUUGUGGUGAAGUUUUUUAAGUGUAUACAUAUAUCCAAACAUAUUAAAUUUUAUACUUUGUGCAAUUUAGUUUAUUUCAGUUAUAUUGCAAUACAGUUUUCAAAUCUUUAAAUAAAAUUAGGCAUGAAAAAAAGGUAUUGUAAUUUGCCUUAAGUCACAGGUCUAGGUCACGGAGGAACAAGGACUUGUAAUUAGCUGUCUGAAACUAAAGUCAGCAAGGAGGAAGAAAAGAUCAUUCUUCCAAAUGAUAGGUUUGCCAGUUAGAGAGGACUCCUUGACUAAGGAGGUUGCCUACUGAUUAUGUGAAAGUCAAGAAUGUUCCAAGAGGGAAGUCCUUUAGAGGAGUGUUACUAGUUUGGAUGAUUUAAUGUGAGGGCCAGUCUUACAUUUUGACCAGUUUUCUUUGCAGGGCAUCUAAAAACAUGAUGACCUUGAUUAAUCAGAGAAAAAUAAAUAUGAUUUCAUAUUUAUUUUGAAACUGGCUUUCCUCAACCAGUUUAUGGGUACUUAGUAAGUCUUCAAGGAUUAUAAAAUAAAUAGGUACUUGGAAUAUCUUGAAAAAUUCUGGGAGAAUUCUUCACAUUCUUCCGAACUACUGGAAAAAAAAAAUACACCAGGAUGAUGAUUCCUUAGACCAGGGUUUUUCGGCUGCAGCAUUAUUGACAUUUGGAGUUGGAUACUUCUUUGUUGUGGGUGACACCCUGUCCGUUAUAGGAUGUUUAGCAGCACUCUUGUCCUCUAACCACUAAAUGCCCAGAGCACAGUCCUCUUAGUUCUGACAACCAAAAAUGUCUCCAGACAUUGCCAAAAUGUCCCUUGGAGUACAAAACUACCCCUGAUUGAGAACCACUGCAUCAGAAUCAUUGUCAUGUUUGAGAAAAAUUCAGAAAUUGUAAAUAAGCAAACAACUAAUUUAGAGAAGAAGGGUUGAUAUCAUUACUAACAAAAGAGCUCUUACAAGCCGGUUAAAAACUAUACUGCUAGAGAGAGAAACAUAAAACAAAUAAUAACUUCUAAUAUUUCAAAUUAGCUUGCCACUGGUAAAGAGCUUUAAAAUUUACAUUACUUCUAAGCUGGGUCCUCUUUGCUGCUUAGUGGGUUCGGCAAACAUUCUCUAAUUUUAUUGCCUACCUUAUACAGCAUUUCAGCCUGUAGUUUCAGCUGAUCAUUUCUCAGCCAAUAUACAUCUGGUAGCAUUGGAUCUUUCCUUAGCUUUCAAACAAUAGUAGCCAUUGUCUUUAAACAAUGCUUAUGGCCCAUUAUGAAGUGGCCAGUUGUAAUAAAUGUAUCUCAAACGUUAGUACAGAAAAAGUGCAUCACACUUGAAAUCAUCUUGUUUCCAUCAAUCAAAUAAACUCAGUUUCCAUUAAUUAAAUCAGAUGCCAUUCUGAUUUAAACUAGGCAGCAAAAAACCCAGAACUAAAAGAAAAGCUCAAUGAUAUAAUCAAGCUAUUUGAAUGAGUAUGAGUGGUUGUAAUAAUAUU
rnacentral:lncRNA from 10 species